UACAGAGGUCUCAAGCGUUGUUCGGAUUCAUUGGGCGUAAAGGGUGCGUAGGUGGGCAGGUAAGUCAGUGGUGAAAUCUCCGAGCUUAACUCGGAAACUGCCAUUGAUACUAUCUGUCUUGAAUAUCCUGGAGGUGAGCGGAAUAUGUCAUGUAGCGGUGAAAUGCUUAGAUAUGACAUAGAACACCAAUUGCGAAGGCAGCUCACUACGGGAUUAUUGACACUGAGGCACGAAAGCGUGGGGAUCAAACAGG
rnacentral:rRNA from 1 species